UCAACGGUAUGUAGUCUGUGUCGUGACA
rnacentral:sRNA from 1 species